CGGCAUUCCGGCCGGCGCAGGAAUGUGAGCAGGGUGUUCACUGCGCGCUCUGAGCGCACAAGUUUGUUCUCCUCUCCUUGGAGAACGCCGGCCCGCUCUGUGCCACCCUCUCCCCAAGCCCCCGGUACGUCCGUCUGUCCGGGUGGAGGACAGGGCCCCGAGGGCCGCGACCAGGAGGGACUCGCAGGAGGCACCGGACAGGGGUGCGGCGAGACCAGUCGCGCUGGAGGAAAGGAGGGAAGCCCGCAGUGGUCCGCUGAGGCACUGAGAAAGCCAGGGAGGAGGCCUCGCCACCAUGCCCAGAGCAGCACAGUGAGUCAGAGAUGAAGCUCUUGUCCCACCUGCCCCAACCCUCGAGCCCUGCUUCCCAGGUCCGCAUUCCCAGGCAGCCUGCCACAGCCAGUGCCAGCGAGAGAGUGGAUCAGGCUUCAGGAUAGCCCAGCACUGAGGACAUCUAAAACAGUCUUCAUUUAUUUAUUUAUUGUUCAUAGUGUCCAAAAGUUGGAAUUAAAGUGAAUGGCUGAAUCAAUUAUGGUGCAUUCAUAUUUAGGGAUGUUAUGCAUCUAUUAAAAAGAAUGAAAUAGAGGUAAACCAGUGAUUAAUUUUAAUUAGAUAUUUAUGAAUAAUAAAAGCAAGAUAAGGAAAAGUGUGUAUAUUAUUUAGGUAAAACAGUGAUUUAAAAUCUAUGUGUGUAUAUGUAUGUUUUGUUAGUUUGAGUUCGCCAAAGAUCAGUGAAUCAGUGACCAAGAUGAGGUUCCAUUUGCAAGAGAUUUAUUGGAAAAGCUCCAGGAAAAAUGUGUGUAUAUGGAUAUUUUAUUUCAUCUAAAGUAUAUAGAAUAAAAUACCUUUAGAUGGAAUAAAAUAUCCAUAUUACUUUAAAAUGUUUGGAUUGAAAUACAGUGAAGUGAAAAUUCCCCCUCCCAGUCUGGUUGCCCUUUUUUUUUUUUUUUUUUUUUUUUUUUGAG
rnacentral:lncRNA from 10 species